CCAGCCCGGCGCCGCCGCCGCCCGCUUCAGCCCAACAUGGCGAUGCACAACAAGGCGGCGCCGCCGCAGAUCCCGGACACCCGGCGGGAGCUGGCGGAGCUCGUGAAGAGGAAGCAGGAGCUGGCGGUGAGGGUUGGCACCCGGGGCGCCCAGGAAACACUGGCAAACUUGGAGAGACAGAUCUAUGCUUUUGAAGGAAGCUACCUGGAAGACACUCAGAUGUAUGGCAAUAUUAUUCGUGGCUGGGAUCGGUAUCUGACCAACCAAAAAAACUCCAACAGCAAAAACGAUCGGAGGAACCGGAAGUUCAAGGAAGCGGAGCGGCUCUUCAGUAAAUCCUCAGUGACUUCAGCAGCUGCAGUAAGUGCAUUGGCAGGAGUUCAGGACCAGCUCAUUGAAAAGAGGGAGCCAGGAAGUGGGACGGAAAGUGAUACUUCUCCAGACUUCCACAAUCAGGAAAAUGAGCCCAGCCAGGAGGACCCCGAGGAUCUGGAUGGAUCUGUGCAGGGAGUGAAACCUCAGAAGGCUGCUUCUUCUACUUCCUCAGGGAGUCAUCACAGCAGCCACAAAAAACGAAAGAAUAAAAACCGGCACAGCCCGUCUGGCAUGUUUGAUUAUGACUUUGAGUAUGUAUAUUAGGUUAGGCUGGGAAGUUUUUUUUAAAAACAGAAAAACGUGAUGGAGGAUUGAUCUGAAGUUAAACAAAAAACCACGAGCUGACUAUUAGAAGACUGCUAGUGCCCGAGCUCCCCGGCCGUAGAGCCCUGCUCCCCUCCUCCGACCUCGCAGAGAGAAGCUUCCCUCACCCGAGUGCGUGACCGUCCACCGCUGCUUCCCCAGACCCGGCGCCUGUGACUCUGAGUAGUUUCUUCUGAAAUGUGGUGACAAACAAGUCAUUUCUGUAAGACCACAUCGGAUCAUUUACUUUGUGUCAUUUUUAGUAACAGAACUGCAGAAAGGCCCGAGACAUGGUUAUAAUCCCGGCAAGUUGCUAACCGUGCGCUUCUCCCUUCUUAGAAUGAAUGAAUGUCUCCCCCCUAAAACUGGCUGGCACCAGCUCCGUCUGUGAUACGCAUCAGGCAGUGUUCUCUGGGCUUCCUUCAUGCUGAAACUAGAACGCAGGUCACAUUUCAGAGGGAGGCUGUAAAUAUCUGGCAUUUUCUUAUUUUGUUCGUGUUUUAUCAUUUUUCUAUUAUUGUUUUUAUCAUCUUACUUUCUUCUGGGACUUUUUGUAAUGCCAUUGUAUAGCUCAUAUCUUCCUGCUGACAUAUCUGAUCAUCUGUUUCGUGCAGUUGCCAAUACUCUUAACUGAAAACAAUCUGGUUUACCAUAAGUAAAAUGGGGACUUGGCUUUUUGUUUUUCUGCAGGGGGAAGGUAAAGAAUGUUUAUUUAAUAUUUACCUAUCUUAAAUCUUUCUGAGUUGGAAGCAGUUUCGUGUUCAAGGAACAGGAAAAGCCGAAAAACAUAAGUUUAAAUCAGUCUUUUUAAAAUAGAUAUUUUUAUUCUUUUGUAUAAAUAAAAUUUCACAGGCUUUGUCUUCUCAUGCUUUACUUUUAAACCUGAGAUUGUUUUUUCACUUAUUUAUUCGUAUCAUGCCUUAUGGAAAUUUCCCUUUUUCCAUCUUUUCUCUCUUUGCUGGUAUUUGCCUGAUUAAAAAUUGCUCUAAAAAUCACUAAGACACAUGGAAAGGCCCCAAAUUGUCCUCGAAGCCGAUAAUGUCUGGAGUUCUUGAGCAGAAUGAGUGACAGGAUCACCGAGAGGCUGCGAUGCCCACGGAUGCCCUUUCCUUACAGGGGUGAAUGGGCUACGAACCUGCUGAUGGUUGUUACCUGCCUCUGGAGCAGUGGUGAUCCACCUCGGCUGCACAUUGGAAUCACCUGGGAUGCUUAAGAAAGUACCGAUGCCUGGGUCCCACCCCCUGAGAUUGUGACUUGGGUACAGUCUAGUAUUGGGGGGCAUUCUUUCAAGGAGUCCCUGGGAUUCUGGUAAGAAGCCAAGUCGAGAACCGUUGCAUUAGGAGACUGGGUGGUUCAAUUUAAAUCCUAUGUCGUGAAUCCGUCUAAGGGAUAAGAUUUGGGGCCUCAACUUUCCUUUCAUUCUGCUUAGUCGUAGUCCUUUACUUAUGCCCAUAUCUUUGUUAGAAAAAAUACGUUCCGUUUGUGAUAGUAUUGGUAGAACUGAAAUAUGGAUGGUGUCUAUUAUCAGAACACAUCUACCUUGUCAGAUGUGCAAAAGCUUUCACUCUUGUUCUCAAAUAAACUUUUUUUUGGACUCUGUG